rnacentral:rRNA from 1 species
UACGUAGGGGGCGAGCGUUGUCCGGAAUUAUUGGGCGUAAAGAGCGUGUAGGCGGUUCGGUAAGUCUGCCGUGAAAACCUGGGGCUCAACCCCGGGCGUGCGGUGGAUACUGCCGGGCUAGAGGGUGGUAGAGGCGAGUGGAAUUCCUGGUGUAGCGGUGAAAUGCGUAGAUAUCAGGAGGAACACCGGUGGUGUAGACGGCUCACUGGACCGUAACUGACGCUGAGACACGAAAGCGUGGGUAGCAAACAGG